rnacentral:rRNA from 1 species
CAAAAACAUCGCCUCUUGCAAAAGUAAUGAAUAAGAGGUCCCGCCUGCCCUGUGACUAUAAGUUUAACGGCCGCGGUAUUUUGACCGUGCGAAGGUAGCGCAAUCACUUGUCUCUUAAAUGGAGACCCGUAUGAAUGGCACGACGAGGGCUUAGCUGUCUCCUCUUUCAGGUCAGUGAAAUUGAUCUCCCCGUGCAGAAGCGGGGAUAACUACAUAAGACGAGAAGACCCUAUGGAGCUUUAGACACUAAAGCAGCCCAUGUUAAGCGUACCCGAUCACCGGUCUAAACUAAUUGGGGACUGCCCUACUGUCUUUGGUUGGGGCGACCGCGGGGAAAAACAAAACCCCCAUGUGGAAUGGGAGGAAGCCCUCCUAAAACCCAGAGUCACACCUCUAAGAAUCAGAAUUUCUGACCAUAAUGAUCCGGCAAAGCCGAUCAACGAACCGAGUUACCCUAGGGAUAACAGCGCAAUCCCCUUUUAGAGUCCAUAUCGACAAGGGGGUUUACGACCUCGAUGUUGGAUCAGGACAUCCUAAUGGUGCAGCCGCUAUUAAGGGUUCGUUUGUUCAACGAUUAAAGUCCUACGUGAUCU